AUGUAUUCUAGUAAUAUGAAUUUUUUCGGUGUUGGUGUAGUGUACUCAGGUGAAUAUGAUAUUUGUGGUGUUACUCUGAGUGUAUAUCCACACCGGGCGAGCUUGAAAAACAUGCCCGGCCACGGUGGGAUUCGAACCUACGACCUUUGGAAUGCUAGCCCAAUGCUCUUCCAACUGAGCUACGCGGUCAGGACGGUUCGAGUAAGUGAUAUUCCGGAACAGAAUCUAGUUCCUUCGAUACCAAUGUAUUCUAGUAAUAUGAAUUUUUUCGGUGUUGGUGUAGUGUACUCAGGUGAAUAUGAUAUUAUCAUUGGGGAUAUAACCGAGAAUUGUCUAGAAGUAUAAAUUUUUGCGUUCAGUUCAUACGCCAAAAACUUUCCUUGCG